UAUACUGUAGGAAGUGUUUCUAUGGAUCAAAUCUGUAAUGGAAGAGAAUGGGAGUAACAUUACAACUGACCAACUUAAAGAUUAUGUAUGGAAGACACUGAAGAGUGGAAAGGUUGUAGUGAUUAGAGAGAAGCUUUCAGGACUUUAUGGAUCUGAACAACAAUGGUUGAGAGCAACACAAAUGCUUAGUGGCAUUGAGUUGGACUCAGGAAUCAGGAUGCUUGAUGACACAAACAAAUUAUCCAAGUGUGUCCAGAUUGCAUGACUCUAUUUGGAGUGAAUGCUGAAGCUUUUAUCAACAAAGCCUCGUUUUUGGUCACAAACAACAACCAGGAAGUUCUGAACUUACAAUACAAGGUCCGCUAUGCGAAAAUUUUAGAUCUAAAGCGUAAAUUCUUGGAAGCUGCACUUCGAUACUCUGGUAUCUCUCAAAUUGAGCAGCGCCAAAUUGGGGAUGAGUAAGGAUUACUCCAUUCAGUUGUAGAUUUGUUUCUCUCUUCUGCAAUUUACUCCCUUUUAAUGUUCUGUCUUGUAUGGUUCUUUGUUGACUUGCUGGUGUAGUCUCAGUGGAACAUAUUAUUAUUCCCUUUCAGGAACGAAGAUAUGAAUCACCCUCACCCCUCUAGAGAAAUCAGUUUACUCAUUCAAGUUCUGGAGUUUCAUAGUUUUCUGAGUUUACUUCAGUCUUGCAUGUAUUAGCUUCCUCUUUGUGCCCCUAUCUAUGCCUAUUUCUUGUGUGCAAACGCUCCAUUCUAUGUGUGCAUGUGACUUGAUGGUCAAUAUGUGUGUGGCUUGAC